GACGUAGGAUGCGAGCGUUGUCCGGAUUUAUUGGGCGUAAAGAGUUCGUAGGUGGUUCGUUAAGUCCGAUGUUAAAGAUCGGGGCCCAACCCCGGGAGUGCAUUGGAUACUGGCGGACUGGAGUGCAGUAGAGGCGAGUGGAAUUCCCAGUGUAGCGGUGAAAUGCGUAGAUAUUGGGAAGAACACCGGUGGCGUAGGCGACUCGCUGGGCUGUAACUGACGCUGAGGAACGAAAGCCAGGGGAGCGAAUGGG
rnacentral:rRNA from 1 species